AUCAAAGCCCCUAUCGGCUCCUUUGGAACCUCAUCCCACUAGGUCCAUCCAGGCAUCCUCGCGAUUCGCUUCCACUCACCGUGCUUCUAGCUGUGUUAUUCUCAACACCGUCACUCUCGCUUCCUCAGCUGCUUCAGCGGUCCGAGCUUAUAUAGGGAAACACUUGGCCCGCCCUUCUGCCCGCCUGUCCUCUGCUGACCCGCUCCUUUUUUCUGCUUCCUUUUUUUAAAGGAGGGAGGGGUCACCAGGCAAGAUACGCGGGUCGCGGAAGAAAGAAUGCAGCAGUUACUACAAAUCAUAGAUGCAGGACCAAAGGAGCUCAGACUAACUUUUGUAGCUCCCUCUGGAGGUUUGUGUCGUUUCGGCGGUGCACGCUGCUGCUGAUAAAUCAGUAUUCAUACCACCAUCUUUAAAAUCUUUCGAUGUAGUUCGGAAGUUGUAUGCUUUGUGCGUGGCAGUGGUGUAGGAAGGGCGGGGGGGGGGGCGGGCGCUGCUGCUCGCGGCACAUCCGGGAGGAGGAUGGGCAGCGGCAGGCAGCGGCGCCCGCCGGCGGCUCCUUAAGGGAUGGAGUCACUCAUACCCUCUGUGCAGAUGAUGGAGUCUGCAUGGCUGUAGAAUCUGUGCCAGAUGUCCAAGAGUGCAAUAUUGAAGAGGAAAAGGAACACCUUCUGAAAGAAAAUCCCCAAGAGGAAUCUUCAAAAGCAGAGCGGUCCCCAUGGAACAGGCUGCUCAAUAGGUACAAGCAACGCCGGAGGAUUCCUAUUUCUAAAGUGGAUAUUUCAGCACAACCAAUAAUUGAAGAUGAAUCUACCCUGGACCUAAUGAUAUAUGGAAUUGCAACACCUAAGUCCCAUGUCUCCUUACCAGAUUCCACUGAGGCUGCUUAUAGGCGUCCUGAAGAUGUGACCAGGGAAAUGAUUGGAAACUGUGAAACAGCAGAGAAAGACAUGGUACCGAAUGCUUCUGGAACCCUGGAAAAUCCAAAGAAUGUGUCCUGAGAAAAUACUGUAAGAGCCACCCUAGUCUAUCAGCUACACUGCUCUUCAUUUUCUUCAGCUGGAAGGAAGACUAACCUACCAAGAAUUCUGUUUUGUAAUCCCCAAGCAUAGUUUCAUACUUUUCACUUGCAUUUCAGUUGAGUUUUUUCUUGCCUUGCCUUUUCUUUUCUUUUUCAGGAGUGUAUAGCUUUCACUCAUUUUGCCCUGAAUUGUAUGGAUCCCUAUAAAUUUAACAGAUGCUUACUUAAUAUAUAUUCUAGCUUGAUUGAUUUGUCUGCCCUCAUUAAAUAACUAUUUUACAGUGUUCUCAUAUAUUUUUUGUGUUCUUUAGUGUGUGCACACUUAAUGUUAUGUUAAAACAAGUCGAAAUUUUAUGCAGCACACAUCACAAAGUUACAGCUUAUGACACCGAAAAUUGCAUUUCUGAGAUCAUGCCAUUCUUCCUAUUGCCCAUUGACUCAUUUAUGAUGUCUCUGCAAGCUACAAGAUGUAUUUGGGGAAGACAUGAUGGUUAAAGAUGCACAGAUAAUGAAUAUCAACAAAAAUAACCUCAAACUGAAUAAAAUGGAAAGAGUGAAAAAUCA
ensembl:lncRNA